rnacentral:rRNA from 1 species
CCAUCAUUCAGUUGGGCACUCUAGCGAGACUGCCGGUAAUAAACCGGAGGAAGGUGGGAGUGACGUCAAUCAUCAUGCCCUUAUGACCUGGGCUACACACGUGCUACAAUGGUUGGUACAACGAGUUGCGACGUCGGUGACGGCGAGCUAAAUCUCUUAAAGCCAAUCUCAGUUCGGAUUGUAGGCUGCAACUCGCCUACAUGAAGUCGGAAUCGCUAGUAAUCGCGGAUCAGCACGCCGCGGUGAAUACGUUCCCGGGCCUU